rnacentral:tRNA from 1 species
UGGAUAGCUCAAUGGUAGAGCAUCAGAUUGAAAAUCUGAGGGUCGCGGGUUCGACUCCCGCUCCA